GACGAACGCUGGCGGCGUGCUUAACACAUGCAAGUCGAACGAAGUGGCGAACGGGUGAGUAAUACGUGGGUAACCUGCCCUCCUUUUUGGGAUAAGCCUUGGAAACGGGGUCUAAUACCGAAUAAAGGGGGAUGGGCUAGGGGCCUAUCAGCUUGCUGGUGGGGUGAUGGGCUACCAAGGCGGUGACGGGUAGCCGGCCUGAGCGGGGGAACGGCUACAUUGAGACGGAGAUACGGCCCAGGGUACUAAGGGGGGCGGAAGUGGGGGAUAUUGAACAAUGGGCGAAAGACUGAUGCAGCGACGCCGAGGGGGGGAUGAGGGCUUUCGGGUUGUAAAGCUAGUUCGCUAUAGAACGGGUAGGUGGAGAGGAAGCGACGGCUAACUACGUGCCAGCCGCCGCGGUAAUAC
rnacentral:rRNA from 1 species